UUAGGUUGUAGUUUAUAGAGAACACUUUAUUUACACUAAAGAGGACCUAAAGGGGGACCUAUA
rnacentral:tRNA from 1 species